rnacentral:tRNA from 1 species
GCGCACGGCGCAGUGCGUUCCGCUAAGGACUCAAGAUCCUUUCCCGUAGGGGUUCGCAGGUUCGAAUCCUGCCCGCUGCACCA